AAAAAGGCAAACCCUGGGUUUCCGUGUCCAACUUUAACUGUCCGUCUUAUAUGUAAUUUUUUUUUCAUAAUUUUUUCAAAUAAGACGAAUGGUUAAACGUUGGACACGAAAACCAGAGUUUGUCUUUUUU
rnacentral:pre_miRNA from 1 species